rnacentral:rRNA from 1 species
AACGAACGCUGGCGGCGUGGAUUAGGCAUGCAAGUCGCACGUGAAAGGGGAGCUUGCUCCCUGAGUAAAGUGGCGAACGGGUGAGUAACGCGUGAGAAACCUGCCUUGUAGAGGGGAAUA